GCAAUAAGUUCUCCGCCUGGGGAGUAUGCACGCAAGUGUGAAACUCAAAGGAAUUGACGGGGGCCCGCACAAGCGGUGGAGUAUGUGGUUUAAUUCGAAGCAACGCGAAGAACCUUACCAAGCCUUGACAUACCGAGCGAAGGUGCAGAGAUGCACCGGAGGAUAACUGGGAUACAGGUGGUGCAUGGUUGUCGUCAGCUCGUGUCGUGAGAUGUUGGGUUAAGUCCCGCAACGAGCGCAACCCUUGUUUUAUGUUACCAAUAUUAAGUUAGGGACUCAUAAGAGACUGCCGGUGACAAACCGGAGGAAGGUGGGGAUGACGUCAAAUCAUCAUGCCCCUUAUGGCUUGGGCUACACACGUACUACAAUGGCAGUUACAAAGGGCAGCGACCUAGUGAUAGGGAGCGAAACUCGGAAAGGCUGUCUCAGUUCGGAUUGAAGUCUGCGACUCGACUUCAUGAAGUCGGAAUCGCUAGUAAUCGCGAAUCAGCAUGUCGCGGUGAAUACGUUCUCGGGCCUUGUACACACCGCCCGUCAAACCAUGGGAGUUGGCAAUACCCGAAGCCGGUGGCAUAACCGAAAGGAGUGAGCCGUCGAAGGUAGGGCCGAUGACUGGGGUUAAGUCGUAACAAG
rnacentral:rRNA from 1 species